CGCUGGGCACGAUUCGUCACGAUAUCCCUAUAUCCGGCCGUGACAUCGCGCGUUCGCGAAUCGCGAUCGGACGAUGGGAACAGAUUCAAAUGCGCAGUAUGGCGCUCACGCGAUAUCACGGUCGCGUGUCCUCGGGUGCGUGCGGCUCGUAAAAUCGUUAUCGCAGGCACGCAUCGUUGCGUCUAAAGUGGUCUAAAGGUAAACCUCAAAUGGGGAAGCUCGAGGAAUACUUAGGAAAAGUCACGCAGGCGAGUAUUUAUAGAAAUAUCGGUCUGAAAUUUGACAAAAAUUCAACAAAAUUAUUUUCCAAGAUGGCUGAACGCUAGGUCUGGGUACCCCAUCAUACCCACCUAAUUCGGCAUAGGAGAAGCGCUCCCCUACCGACACACGCACGCUUGAGAAUUACAUAUGUGAGUAAUUAUUAUUUUUAUUAAUUAUUAGCUAAAUUUUCGUCCACAACGUGGACGUGUCCCCACUCCUCGCGCCUUCAAGACUGCUCGCGAGCAGGCGUUUGUCUAGGCCUGAUCUAAUAUUUAAUCAAAUGUUUCCAAUUUUAUUUCUAGGUUAAAUAAAAAUAUUUAAAUUUAGAUUUGAGUAUUUGUAUUUCAAUUGUGGAAGUCGCGGUAAAUUUGAUUCUGACACUUCUAUAAUUACGUCACUAUCAAAUAACUCGAAAGGUCAGUUAAGAAACGUCAAAUUUGAAUCCAGAUCGCUCCAGAUCUUUCACAAUUGCCCCAGAAAAUAAAACGCGUACGAGAAAUCAUCGCGACUCCCGACUCCCGCUCAGACACUCUCGGAUACGUUAAUCGAUACAUCGAACGACACUUUCGACGUACGUACUUUCUUUCCUUUCCUAAAAUCAGAAAAAAUUAGAUAAUAGUAUUUUAAUCCGUCAUUGUGUACGUGUGCUUCAAUUCUUAUUUCAAAUAAGUAGAUCUCGUAAAACGUCUACUUUGAUACAGAUAUCACAUCGAUAUGUUAUGAACCGUCACAUGCAAAAAUUAAUUGUAUUUUUAUUUUUAAGUAAUUAUGCAUUUAUAAUUUUUAAUUCUCCAAAAUAAUUGCGUUUCAGCAAUGAUGCACAAAGAGAUCACUUAUAUCGUUACUUAUCUCAAAUAUCUAUGCAAAAAAAAA